rnacentral:rRNA from 1 species
UACGUAGGGGGCGAGCGUUGUUCGGAGUUACUGGGCGUAAAGCGCACGCAGGCGGUCUGCUAAGUUUGGAGUGACAGUUGGUGGCUUAACUGCCAAAGUGCUUCGAAAACUGACAGACUUGAGGGCUUCAGAGGGACACGGAAUUCCGGGUGGAGUGGUGAAAUGCGUAGAGAUCCGGAGGAACACCAAAGGCGAAGGCAGUGUCCUGGGGAGUACCUGACGCUCAGGUGCGAAAGCCAGGGGAGCGAACGGG